rnacentral:rRNA from 1 species
GACGAACGCUGGCGGCGUGCCUAAUACAUGCAAGUCGAACGGUCUUUUCUAUGGAAGCUUGCUUCCACUGAGAAGAUAGUGGCGAACGGGUGAGUAACACGUGGGUAACCUGCCCAUAAGAGGGGGAUAACAUCCGGAAACGGGUGCUAAUACCGCAUAGUUUUCUUGAUCGCAUGAUUGAGAAAGGAAAGACGGCCUUUGUGCUGUCGCUUAUGGAUGGACCCGCGGCGUAUUAGUUAGUUGGUGAGGUAACGGCUCACCAAGACGAUGAUACGUAGCCGACCUGAGAGGGUGAUCGGCCACAUUGGGACUGAGACAUGGCCCAAACUCCUACGGGAGGCAGCAGUAGGGAAUCUUCCGCAAUGGACGAAAGUCUGACGGAGCAACGCCGCGUGAGUGAAGAAGGUUUUCGGAUCGUAAAACUCUGUUGUCAGAGAAGAACAAGUUGGAGAGUAACUGCUCCAGCCUUGACGGUAUCUGACCAGAAAGCCACGGCUAACUACGU